rnacentral:tRNA from 2 species
GGUCCCUUAGCUCAGCUGGAUAGAGCACCGGCCUUCUAAGCCGACGGUCGCAGGUUCGAAUCCUGCAGGGAUCG